rnacentral:rRNA from 1 species
AGCGAACGCUGGCGGCAGGCUUAACACAUGCCAGUCGAGCGGGCAUCCUUGUGGUGUCCGCGGCAGACGGGUGAGUAACGCGUGGGAACGUGCCCUUCGGUUCGGAAUAACUCAGGGAAACUUGAGCUAAUACCGGAUACGUGCGAGAGCAGAAAGGUUUAUCUGCCGAAGGAUCGGCCCGCGUCAGAUUAGCUAGUUGGUGAGGUUACGGCUCACCAAGGCGACGAUCAGUAGCUGGUCUGAGAGGAUGAUCAGCCACACUGGGACUGAGACACGGCCCAGACUCCUACGGGAGGCAGCAGUGGGGAAUAUUGGACAAUGGGGGCAACCCUGAUCCAGCCAUGCCGCGUGAGUGAUGACGGCCUUAGGGUUGUAAAGCUCUUUUCUCCGGGACGAUAAUGACGGUACCGGAGGAAUAAGCCCCGGCUAACUUCGUG